UACGGGGGGAGCAAGCGUUGUUCGGAUUUACUGGGCGUAAAGGGCGCGUAGGCGGUCGUGACAAGUCACUUGUGAAAUCUCCGGGCUUAACCCGGAGCGGUCAAGUGAUACUGUCGGACUAGAGUACAGAAGGGGCAACUGGAAUUCUCGGUGUAGCGGUGAAAUGCGUAGAUAUCGAGAGGAACACCUGCGGCGAAGGCGGGUUGCUGGGCUGAUACUGACGCUGAUGCGCGAAAGCCAGGGGAGCGAACGGG
rnacentral:rRNA from 1 species